GUGUCAGCAGCCGUGGUAAUACGAAGGGGGCUAGCGUUGUUCAGAUUUACUGGGCGUAAAGCGCACGUAGGCGGACUUUUAAGUCAGGGGUGAAAUCCCGGGGCUCAACCCCGGAACUGCCUUUGAUACUGGAAGUCUUGGGUAUGGUAGAGGUGAGUGGAAUUCCGAGUGUAGAGGUGAAAUUCGUAGAUAUUCGGAGGAACACCAGUGGCGAAGGCGGCUCACUGGACCAUUACUGACGCUGAGGUGCGAAAGCGUGGGGAGCAAACAGGAUUAGAAACCCUUGUAGUCC
rnacentral:rRNA from 1 species